GGGGAAUCUUAGACAAUGGGGGCAACCCUGAUCUAGCCAUGCCGCGUGAGUGAUGAAGGCCUUAGGGUUGUAAAGCUCUUUCAGCUGGGAAGAUAAUGACGGUACCAGCAGAAGAAGCCCCGGCUAACUCCGUGCCAGCAGCCGCGGUAAUACGGAGGGGGCUAGCGAUGUUCGGACUUACUGGGCGUAAAGCGCACGUAGGCGGAUCGGAAAGUUGGGGGUGAAGUCCCGGGGCUCAACAUCGGAAC
rnacentral:rRNA from 1 species